GCGUCAUUUGUACCUUAAGCUCUGCUUAGUGUGGGUGAUUGUCUACGCUAGACGUAGACUCGCCUUGAAUCAAUUGGCCGCCGAUAGUGUAGUAUGCGAGCGCAGCACAUUUGCGCACUGUACUCGACUAGUCGGCCACCAUCAAGUAUAAUACAUCAACGUUUGACCUCGGAUCAGGUAGGGAUACCCGCUGAACUUAA
rnacentral:misc_RNA from 1 species